CGAAUCUCUUUUAGAGAUGAGUGGCGAACGGGUGAGUAAUACAUAGGUAACCUGCCCCUGUGCGGGGGAUAACAGGAGGAAACUCCUGCUAAUACCGCAUAGCCAUGAGCACCGCAUGGAGCUCAUGCCAAAUAUCCUUUCGGGGAUAGCGCAGGGAUGGACCUAUGGCGCAUUGGCUGGUUGGCGGGGCAACGGCCCACCAAGGCAACGAUGCGUAGCCGGCCUGAGAGGGCGGACGGCCACAUUGGGACUGAGACACGGCCCAGACUCCUACGGGAGGCAGCAGUAGGGAAUUUUCGGCAAUGGGGGAAACCCUGACCGGGCAACGCCGCGUGAGCGAAGAAGGCCUUCGGGUCGUAAAGCUCUGUUGUAAAGGAAGAACGGCGCAUACAGGAAAUGGUAUGCGAGUGACGGUACUUUACCAGAAAGCCACGGCUAACUACGUGCCAGCAGCCGCGGUAAUACGUAGGUGGCGAGCGUUAUCCGGAAUCAUUGGGCGUAAAGAGGGAGCAGGCGGCCGCAAGGGUCUGUGGUGAAAGCCCGAAGCUAAACUUCGGUAAGCCAUGGAAACCGGGCGGCUAGAGUGCGGAAGAGGAUCGCGGAAUUCCAUGUGUAGCGGUGAAAUGCGUAGAUAUAUGGAGGAACACCAGUGGCGAAGGCGACGGUCUGGGCCGUAACUGACGCUCAUUCCCGAAAGCGUGGGGUGCAAAUAGGAUUAGAUACCCUAGUAGUCCACGCCGUAAACGAUGGUCACUAAGUGUCGGGGGUCAAACCCCU
rnacentral:rRNA from 1 species